rnacentral:rRNA from 1 species
UACGUAGGGCGCAAGCGUUGUCCGGAAUUAUUGGGCGUAAAGAGCUCGUAGGCGGUUUGUCGCGUCUGCUGUGAAAGCCCGGGGCUCAACCCCGGGUCUGCAGUGGGUACGGGCAGACUAGAGGCAGGUAGGGGAGAAUGGAAUUCCCGGUGUAGCGGUGAAAUGCGCAGAUAUCGGGAGGAACACCGGUGGCGAAGGCGGUUCUCUGGGCCUGUACUGACGCUGAGGAGCGAAAGCGUGGGGAGCGAACAGG